rnacentral:rRNA from 1 species
AGCGAACGCUGGCGGCAGGCCUAACACAUGCAAGUCGAGCGCCCGUGGCAACACGGGAGCGGCAGACGGGUGAGUAACACGUGGGAACGUGCCCUUCGGUUCGGAAUAACUCAGGGAAACUUGGAUUAAUACCGGAUACGUCCGCAAGGAGAAAGAUUUAUCGCCGAAGGAGCGGCCCGCGUCCGAUUAGCUAGUUGGUGGGUAAUGGCCCACCAAGGCGACGAUCGGUAGCUGGUCUGAGAGGAUGAUCAGCCACACUGGGACUGAGACACGGCCCAGACUCCUACGGGAGGCAGCAGUGGGGAAUAUUGGACAAUGGGCGCAAGCCUGAUCCAGCCAUGCCGCGUGAGUGAUGAAGGCCCUAGGGUUGUAAAGCUCUUUCGGCGGGGAAGAUAAUGACGGUACCCGCAGAAGAAGCCCCGGCCAACUUCGUG